UUAAAAUGCUAAAAAAAAUUUUUUUUAAAGAAUAUUCCCCGCAGCGACUGUGAAAAGCUAAAAUCUGGAAACCACCUAAAUGUCCAUCAACAGGAGAAAGAAAAAGUAAAGACAAGUGGUCUCAUGAGAGAACAUCAUUCAUCCGUGAGAAGAGACGAACUAAAGCCACCCAGACCAACGUGGCCUAGUUUCGCAAACAAUACCACCGAAGACAGAAAAGUACCAGCGGGCAGACUGCACACUGGCGGACACCAUCCGAGACGCAGGGAGAAUUGGUGAAGAUGAAGCUCAAGGAGCAGGCAGAGAGGUGUGCGGACCAUGGUUACCCAAGACAAAAAAAGUCUGAGGAAACACAUCGGAGAGAAUUUAAGGAAACAGGAACUUCAUUCAUCUUUUCCUAAAUGGUAAGUUGCAACAUUAUCAAAAUUACAAAUGCACUUUCUCGCACAGGGCCACAUGCGUAAGGCUAUUCCCAUAUAACACUGUUUUAUAACGCAAUGUUGUAUAACAUUGUUUAAUAGUGAGAGAGUUAGAUGUCUGUAAGUAGCAGACUGGUUAAAUAAUCAUGGGACAUCCACUAAAUGAAAUACUAUGUGGGUACUACCAAAAAAACCACACCGUAUGUAGCAUCAAGGGACAAACUCCAAAUUGAUGCUUUUAAGGGGAAACGGUGGUGGAAGAGCCAUAAACUCUACCACUUCAUGGGAGCAAAGGAAAGUGGCCCCCCAGGUUUCCUCUCGGAAGGAGAGUCAGUGUGGGCGAUUUUUCCUCGAUACGUAUCCUCUUGCACUUUAUGAAUUUCGUGCCAUUUACCCAUUUCCUUCACCAGAUUAAAUUCGACUAGGUAGAUAUUAAAUCGCAAUGGCUGCCAGGGAGAGGACAGAUGAGGGGAACAGAAGUGCCCUGUGGAGAAGUGCCCAGCUGCAGGCUGGGCAUCAGAGACAGUGAGACAGGAUAUCCUCUUGCCCCCAAAGCCUGGGGGGUGCCCAGGGUAGCCAGCAUCCAUAGAGACACUCAGGCCCAAGAAGUCCCUCCUUCACCUGUUCCGUGCCGCUUAAACCCCACCCUCACCAACUUCCGGGAGGGAGUGAUGGGCGUGGGGACCCCAUGCCCCAAAGACUGCACAUACCUGGCUCCAGGCCCAGCUCGAGAGUCUCCUCCCUCACCACCUGCACCAGCAUGGCCAGGAGCAGGAAGAGGAAGG